UCUGACGAGAGAAAAACUGGAAGAGAAGAGAAAUACGGAUAUUUUGAAAUACGGACAACUUUGACUAUGGAUACUUGAAUUAUUGAUAUUUGAACUACGGAUAUUUGAAGUACAGGACAUUUGAACUACGACAUAAAGAUCCCUCCCACGAAGCUUCCUUGACAGAUGAUCUCCUGUUGAAGGAAGAAGGAAGACUCUUGUCUCUUGUGUUUUGUACGCUGCUGGAAUCCUGGGUCAGAGGGGAUCAAGGCAUUGAGAAUGUUGACAUUGCCAGGUUUAUGUUCACUAUGCGGGGUACCGACAGGGGAAGCUUCAUGUCAGGAAAAAGCGUUCACAACCAAAGAAUCGAACGUCUGUGGCGGGACGUGAAGACCUGUCUCACCUCCAAAUACUACAAUAUGCUUCGGGGGGCUGGAACAGGAUCAGUUGCUGGAUGUUUCUUCCCCAGAAGACCCUUUCUGUGUCCACCUGGUCUUUCUCCCCAAACUGAAGAUGGACCUUGAAAGUUUUGUGGAAGGUUGGAACAAUCAUCCUGUCCAAACUGAAAAUGAUAGAACUCCUGAGCAGUUGUGGUGGCUGGAUUUGAUGACCACAGAUA